rnacentral:rRNA from 1 species
UACGGAGGGGGCUAGCGUUGUUCGGAAUUACUGGGCGUAAAGCGCACGUAGGCGGCUUUGUAAGUUAGAGGUGAAAGCCCAGGGCUCAACCCUGGAAUUGCCUUUAAGACUGCAUCGCUUGAACAUCGGAGAGGUAAGUGGAAUUCCGAGUGUAGAGGUGAAAUUCGUAGAUAUUCGCAAGAACACCAGUGGCGAAGGCGGCUCACUGGUCCGGUACUGACGCUGAGGUGCGAAAGCGUGGGGGAGC